AUUGAACGCUGGCGGCAGGCCUAACACAUGCAAGUCGAACGAGUGGCGGACGGGUGAGUAAUGUCUGGGAAACUGCCUGAUGGAGGGGGAUAACUACUGGAAACGGUAGCUAAUACCGCAUACCCUCGGAUGUGCCCAGAUGGGAUUAGCUAGUAGGUGGGGUAAAGGCUAACCUAGGCGACGAUCCCUAGCUGGUCUGAGCGGAGGACCAGCCACACGGGAACUGAGACACGGUCAAGACUCCUCCGGGAGGCAGCAGUGGGGAAUAUUGGACAAUGGGCGAAAGCCGUAGGCAGCCAUGCCGCGUGUAUGAAGAAGGCCUUCGGGUUGUAAAGUACUUUCAGCGGGGAGGCGUUACCCGCAGAAGAAGCACCGGCUAACUCCGUGCCAGCAGCCGCGGUAAUAC
rnacentral:rRNA from 1 species